UAUGAAAUGCUAAAUGAAUGCAUGAAUGAGGAGGGCAAAUUUUGGGGUGUUACAGCUGCCCCUAUUCAAACAUCAGCUAACCCGAGUAGGAUGAAAGCGAAUAGCUUAUCAGACAAACGGGGUGAGCUGUGAUUGAAUACCAAAGACAAACCGAAAAUUUGUGCUCAUAGAAUACCACAAAAACGCGGAAAUACACCGCGCUGUUUAUCUUUCUUCCGAUCCUCUG
rnacentral:lncRNA from 1 species